CAUUUAUGUUCAGUUAUAUAAUUGAUAAUCGUGUCUGUACCUGUAGUGGAUGAACCAUUCAAUGGCUUUUAUGAUCUAGGCAAAGAGCAGUGCCCACCUUGUGUUUGAUGGUAAUUCUCCUUCAUUUUUCAAGUAGGGAUAUGCCUAUCCCAUAUUAAAUAGCACAACUUGUCAGGCAUCUAGAGCAAGGGGAAGAAGCUAUUGCAAAU